CCAAGAUGGCCGCAACUGUAAUUCUGCCCCCAAUCAGCCCCUACUUCAAGUACUCUGUCAUGAUCAACAAGGCCACACCCUACAACUACCCAGUGCCUGUCCGCGAUGAUGGGAACAUGCCCGACAUACCCAGCCACCCCCAGGACCCCCAGGGGCCCAGCCUGGAGUGGCUGAAGAACCUGUGAGCACCUCCACUGACCAAGGCGGGCCCUCUCUCGGCCCCCAAUAAAAAUGUGAAAACCAAAAAA